GUACAUUUUGAUCCACAAGUGUAAAAUAGCAUCUAUAAAGAGAGUUAUUUUUCCAGUGUUUUCCAGUUGCUGCAUGUGGAGAAAAUUAUCUUUUAUCUCUUCAUAAACGUAAAGUCAAGAAGAAAUUUUCCAUCGAAGACAAGGAUCUGGUAUUACAAGAUGACACAGGUGUGGAGGUUGAUGAGGAUAUUUUCUCUGACGUGCUGGAGGAGAAAUCUCAUGAUAUUCUUUGGAGAGUUGUUGACCAAGAUUCAGGAAAGUGUCUAUGAUGUACAAAUACUUCCCUAGCACACGUCAUUAAAUUCUUUAAAGAAAUAGUUACCCAUAAAUAAACAAAUUCUCACUCUUUCAUGACAAAUCUAUAUUAGUUUUUUUCUGUGGAACACUUAAUUUGAAUAAUGUUGCACUUUAAAAAUUGCUGCCUUUAGUUCACCCCAAAAUGAAAAUUCUGUCAUUAAUCAUCAAACCCAUUUGUAACGAGUUGUCACACGAGUUGGGAUCCAUCAGCAGGCUUUAUUAACAGAUAGCGUGGUACAAACAGGCAGGGGUCAGACAGGGGCAAACAGGGAGCAGGGAACAGGCAGAAUCGUAGUUGUAGUACAGGCAUGGAAUCAGGGCAGGCAGAUAAGGGUCACAGUCCAAGCAAACAACAAACAGUCCAAAGGUAGGCAGGAGAAACUCAGGCAGGCAUCAGCAACAGUCAGAAAAUCAGAAUAGUAAACUCUCAAAAAUGUACACCGUGGCAAUACAAGACCUUGCAAAGAUGGUGAGUUUGCGAGUGGCUUAAAUAGUCCAGUAGAUGAGCGGCAGCUGGGUGUGGUGAUUAGUCCAAAGUACGGGGCAGAUGGGAAAUGUAGUGCGUGUGAAUGUAAGAGUGAAUGUGAGUGUAUGCGUGUGUGCUAGUAUUCGGGAGAGGGCACCCACUGAUGGUCAGAGGAGGGAAUCAAGGAGUUCGUCUCUGUGACAGAGACCCCCCUCCCCCCAUGAGUAUGAGCUCUGUUCUAUGUAGCCUCACUCCGAUUCAUCCAGUCGUUAACUGCAGGGACAUUGGUUGGUUUGCCAGUCCAGGGGAACAGAGGUGGUUGAAAACCAAGGAUGCACUGAAAUGGAGUUAAACCAGUUGCUGCCUUGCAAAUAGAGUUCUGUGCAUAUUCUGCCCACAGGGGAUAUCUGGACCAGUCAUUUUGGUGGUGGUUGCAGUAGGAACAGAGGAAUUGAGUAAGUUCUUGGUUCAACCGCUCAAUUUGCCUGUUAGACUGUGGGUGGUAUCCAGAAGUGAGGCUGACGUUAAUAUUGAGUGCCUGGCAGAAGGCUGACCAGAGGCGUGAGGAAAAUCAGAAGAUUUGUAUGUUCGACUAUGGAGGUAGAGGGUAAUUGCUGAAGGAAUGACAGGAGACCACAAUUAAGUGUCCGAAUAGGUUGGCUCGCCAUCAAAGAAAAUCAAUCUCCCCUGAGGAAAAAAAACCUGACCUGUUUAAAAGGUCAGAAAUGCAUGACUGCAUUUAGUCAACAAUAGCAUCACAUCAGGCACGUGUGUAUUACCGCGACAUGCACGUGAAGCGUGCACGUGAAAAAGAACGACACCACAUGAGAACAACUGAACAGCGCUACGAAUUUGUAUUAUAAUAUACAAAAAUACAACAUAAAUCACACAUAUGACCAUAAUAAACAAAAUAAACAACUGUUUUCCUUACAAAA